GGCGUUCUCUCCGGGCCUGAACUUGGUUGACCCUCUGCAGUUUCGUCCCGGGGUACUGGGCCUCUAUCCUGGCGGGGGGGGGGAGAGGGGAGUAGGCGGGCGGGCCUCCGGGAGGACCUCCGCGCCCUCCGGCCCGGGGAGGAGGCCCGGACGCCGCUGAGGGCCAGAAGCCAAGCAAAGAAGGGGCUUAGGGCCGGAGGAGUGCCUGGGGUGGAGAGAGGUCUCUUUCCUCCUGUCUGAGAAAUCCCUCCUAGUUCACCUGGCCGACUCUUACUCAUCCCUCAAAACCCUUUCCCAAUGAUGUUUACCCAGGCUCUGGGAAGUUGUCUCAACACUGAGGCUGAGUUUUAGCGUCCUUCCCCGGGGUCCCCAGCGGUGACAGCUCCUGGCAGGGAGUGUAAGUGUUUGGCACCGUCAACGUCCACCUCCUGGAAUGACGCUCCUAUGAGUUGGGGCUGGUGGAGGCAGCAGAGUUUGACAAAUGAACAAAGGGUAUAGGGCAUGCAGUGGGGGGCCGGAAAUCAGGGAGGGGGCUUGGGAUCCAGGCCUGGGGCCUGCAGGGGAGGCCAGGGGUGGGGUGGGGUCGGUUCUGCCCCUGGCUGCCCGGCCUUCUGCCCUCAGGGACCUGCCAUCUCUCCUUGGGAGUUCCAGGCUAAAGUCCUUUGGCUACUGCCCGAAGAUGACGUCUUGGGACCGUCUCAGCCGCCAGCAGCACCCUCCAAGGAUGAGGAGGCCCCCAGGAACUUUGGCUCCUGAACUGAACUACCACAGUGUCCUGGGUCAGCUCCGAGAGCAGUUCCCCAGGUUAUCCCCUCACCUGGCAGCGCAGGUGGACAGCAUGUACCACACGGUGAGCCACCCCGGGCAGCCCCCAGGAGCCGGGCUUGGGGACACGGUCUCCUCCACUUGCUUCUGCUUCCUUGGGGCGAGCAAGGUCACCCGUGCAGGCCAGCUUCUCCAGGAGCGUUUUUCCUCAUGUGUGCACACCUCGCUGCCAAAGUUAGACAUUCCAUAUUUAAAGGAAGGGCUUCUUUGGCCACUCAUCAUUGAGGGAUAGGUAACGGGAGCCCCUGCUCAUGAGGAGUAUAUGCGCUGGUGUGGUGCUGGUCUUCUAGAACCUUCCUCAACGAUGGGAAUGUUCUAUACCAACAGUACCCAAUAUGACACCCACUGGCUGCUUGUGGCUGUUGAGAACUUGUAAAGACUGACUUUUUUUUUUUUUUUUUUAAGAUUUUACUUAUUUAUUCGAGAAAGAGCAAGGGAAAGAGAGCACAAGCAGAGGUGAGAGGGAGAAGCCAGACCCUGAGAUCAUGACCUGAGCCAAAGGCAGAUGUUUAACUGACUAAGCUCCCCAGGUGCCCCAGGAACUGAAUUUUUAACUUGAUUAAAUUUAAAUAGCCACACUUGACUAGUGGCUAGCUCCUUGGACAGGGCACCCCCAGGGCGAGGAGAGAGAUAAGAAAGCAGAUCACAAAUCGUAACCACUAUAAAGGAGACAGAAGAUAAUGGGAUGGAGUGAUACAGAUACUGAGCUAAACUAGUCAGGAAGGGCUUCUUGGAAGAAGUGGUGUUCACAGGGAGAUGUGGAAGAUAAGGAGGUCCUGCCAUCCCAGAGAGAGUGGGGAAGGGGAUUCCGAGCAGAGGCGCACAGCCUGUGCAAAGGCCCUGGGGCAGGACUGGCCUUGGUCUGUUGGAGGAAUGGGCAAGGAGGCCAGUGUGGCUGGAGC
rnacentral:lncRNA from 12 species